rnacentral:tRNA from 1 species
GUGGGCAUAGCUCAGUGGUAGAGUGCAUGCUUAGCACGCAUGAGGUCCUAGGGUCAAUCCCCAGUACCUCUG